rnacentral:lncRNA from 1 species
CACCCAUGAGGACUUGGGCUGACCAGGCUCUCCUGGUGCAAGCAAAGGUGCAAGCAGCCCUUCUUACCAGUUCCUGUGACUGAAGUCGAUUUGCUCCACCAUCAUGAUGAGGCUGCUGUGAUCCUGUUGCUACGAGGUGCCCACCCAACUGAGCUAGCACCCUUUGCACAGCCAGCAUUUCUGUCUCGCCCUGGCUGUGAACGCUGCAACCAUCACACGUUGUUGUGCUUCACACAGUCCCACUGAACUUCUGCCAGUGUCUCGUGGCAGCCGGCUGGAGUUCCUGCUGUCACUGGUGUGAUGCCACAGGGAGAUCACCUCCGGGUUUCCACUCAAGACAGGAAUCAAGUCGUUCUUACACUGCUAUGUUAUAUGAAGACGAGUGUACUUGGAUGUUAAUAACAGCUCAGCUCUGCAGAUGAAUGAUUAAAUGAAGAGACAAGAAAGCUUUGUGGCUUCUAUACCAGUGAACGGGUUGGAAGUAGCAGCAGAUGUUGAGUUUGAGCCCUGAGCAUUAUGCAGAGGGUGCUCAGCACCCUCUGAGCUUCUAUUGGCUGCACUGGAAAUGGAGAAGACUCAGCACAUCCCAGGAAAGCAAUCUGCUUGGGAUCAGCUCCAAGACAGCAGCCUGGUGUCACUUGGUACUGCCUCCAUGCUUGCUCUCACCCUGAGCCAGAACUUACAAUUGCCCCCAGGUUAAGGCUGAAGUCCCCCUGCCCAUUUUGUAUCCCCACAAAACCUCCUGCACUGGGGCUCCCAGUGGUGUUCCCCUGAGCUUCAUGGGAAGGACCAACCCACCCCACUCCUGUCCCUCACUGCAGCACUUUACAGCUUGCUUGAGACAGUGAGCUCUGAGAAAUGUGACCAAAGAUCUCUGGAAGGCAUUGGACUGUGUGCUUGGAGCUGACUCCCAGCCUUCCCAGGAAGGAAGAGACUGAUGUGGGCUGGGAAAGCAGAGAGCACAGGGUAGAAAGAGGGGUACUUCUCACAGUUCCUGGGCAAGGUGAUUGUCCCCACCUGGUGAGGCCAGUGUCCUCCUUGGGUAUGCCAAGUAGCUCCAUGUGUCACCCAGGGUGAGUAGGGAUUCAGGAGGCAGGAUGGAUCUGAUUCUCCUUUUUUCUUGAGCAGUAAAGAGUUAAUCUGUAAGGAUGCAUGCCAUGCCAUUACACUUGUCUUCAGAGCCACAGGUCUUCUCUAGUUCAGCCCGCUCAAUGUGAAUGGGCCAGGAAAAUGUCAGAGCCAGUGGUCCUUCUGACUGUCCCCUUGUCCCCUCCCCACAUCACCAGUGGGCAUCCUCAGCACCCGCCACGCCCCUGCACCAUGUCUCUGCCCCAUGGCUGUGCUGAGCUCUGCUCCAUUCCUGUCAGGAAUAACAGCCUGCUAAUGAUCAGUGGCAGGCCUUACUUCUGUCCUGGAUGGGAGCAUGUCCUUCUUGCCCUUACUAUAACUCAAUCUUUCAGUCACAGCCUUAAACGGCACUUUACAGAGUUACCUUUCACCAAGAUUCCCUCACUGAAGAUCUGCUCAGUGUUGCCUGUGUCCUGCUGCCCCUCUGCAUCAGCUCUCCAGGCUCCCCUGCCCAAUUUCAGUUCAUCAGUGUAACACUCUCCCAGGUGCACUCAGUGCCUCUCCCAGUGUUCUUCCCAGACACUUCCUCCACUAACAAGCAGGAGCUUACACUGAGAGCGGCUUGCCCUGACCCUGCCCUUAGAGGAGCUUUCUAGACUACUGAUUCUCACAUCUCCAUCAUUCCCAUGUCAGCUACAUCAGCCCUGUUUUAUCUCCAUGAGAGAUCUUGCUUCUUGCUGAAGGACAUCUCCAUGGCCUUUAAUCCCUUGAGAUCACUGCAUGGGGCUUCGCACCAUCACAACACUAAACCCAGCCAGCUGAGGCUUCCCCUGUCCUUCCACCCUUUGCAAAGGCAGGGGUGUAAGGGACAUACAAGUAACCUUGAUCACACAGCUCCCGUGCCACCGAGUCCCCAUGGGGGCAAUGAGACAUUGGGAUCACAUCCAGCAGUUGACAGAUGUCAGCUUCCCAAUCAGAUGUUCCACACUGGCAGCACAGCUGUCAGCAAAACAGAAAUGAGCCUCUGCACUUUCAGGAUAAGCCUCCUCCCAGAUUCUCUCCAUGAAGGGGGAUUGCAUCAGAUCUGGAUCCUGGGACAACCUCUGGCAAGUAUGGUUGUGUUUUCAGGGCUCCUCUACAGAUCUGUUUUCUAAGCAGAAAGUCUCUGCUUUCUGUCACAAAGCAAUAGGUAUUUUCUUGGGAGGUUUAAAAAGGACUCUUUCCAACUCUGAUACUUGUAACCCAGUGUUCUCUUGAAUACCAUCGUAACUCCAGUUCUGGGCUCUCCUUCAAAAAGCAAUGUGAGGCCAGGUCUGGCUCCAUAGAAUCACAAAACGUAUGAGCCUGGUGGUCCCCAUUCCUCCAGAGAGCCCAUGUCCAGCAGGCAAUCAGUGUGGGUCCCUGGGAUGUGUGGUCCAUCCUCCUUUGGUGACUGUUACUGGGUGCCUGCAGCCAGUCAGCUCACUGCAGAUCACUGACAUGGGAGCCACUGGGUCCCCAGAAGUGUCUGAGCCCAAAGUCAUAUUUGAUGACAGCCAGACACCAAUGGGAAACAGGGCUUUCGCAUUCCUGGGAGCCAGGCUGUCCUAGGAACUCUCUCAGAGAAGAAGAUGCCCAUGGUGGCACACGGGUUCCCUUCCAGUGGCUGAAGGGAGCAAACAUGUCCAGGUAGAGCUUGGACACCGGUGCAAAAACGCACUGCCACCGGUGCCAAAAUGCUGCACAACUGGCCAAUGAGUCUAUGCAGUCCUUUCCCACACAGCAGUGUCCCUGCAGAGCCCAGCCCAAGGAGGCUGGGUCUCCUCCAAGGUGUCUUUGUUUGCACUCAUGUGGACCCGAUAUAUGCUGUGAGCUGAGAGGUGGCCCCUCAGGACUCACUCUUAGCCUUCACCUUGCACAGGGCAGUAUGGUUGCGAGGGUUUCCUCAUCCAAAAUAGAUGCAUAUUCGUAGUCACCGGUUUCCGUGUCUCUUCUCUAGGAGAACAGGCCCCUAAAACCCAGCUCCCUGAUAGUGGGAUGUCAGGUUGGGUGAGCCUGUGCCCCAAGCAAGCCUGUUGUCUGAUCUCACCAGCAAUAAAAGCCCCGGGGGGGAGCAGCCAGAGCUUUCCAGGCUGUGUGUGUGUGUGUAGGAUCUCUGCAUCAGACCCUUUGUCCAACGUUUUGGACCUGCCUGACUGUAAAUUCAACCCCAGCCUUGUGCUUCCCUUCCUCUGUUUGUUUCUCGAAGCCUCGAUUUCUCUCUGCUCUUACUGUGAAUUCAAACCAGAAGUGUUCUGAACUCGACUCUGUUACUGUUUGUUCUGCGUUGACUGUUGCUGGUUCUCUGAACUGCGUUUAAGGAGACUUUGCAAAAAAGAAAAAAAAAAAGAAAAAAAAAGAAAAAGGAAAAGAAAAAAAA